rnacentral:lncRNA from 1 species
GAUUGUUGCUAUUUUUAGACAUUAUAUAUUAUUCUCGCAGGCAACACGCAUUACACAUAUUUUUGUGUGUAAUCCUUUCAUAUCUAUUUCCUGCUAAGAUCAUGGAACAAAGAACUUAUUUCUACAAACUACGAAGUUUAACAAAACAGAAAAUACAAGUUGAACAUCAUGUUUCAAACAUUAAAUCAUAUAUUUAUAACAACAAAAUACCA